GACGAACGCUGGCGGCGUGCUUAAAACAUGCAAGUCGAACGGAAAGGCCCUGCUUUUGUGGGGUGCUCGAGUGGCGAACGGGUGAGUAACACGUGAGUAACCUGCCCUUGACUUUGGGAUAACUUCAGGAAACUGGGGCUAAUACCGGAUAGGAGCUCCUGCUGCAUGGUGGGGGUUGGAAAGUUUCGGCGGUUGGGGAUGGACUCGCGGCUUAUCAGCUUGUUGGUGGGGUAGUGGCUUACCAAGGCUUUGACGGUGAGCCGGCCUGAGAGGGUGACCGGCCACAUUGGGACUGAGAUACGGCCCAGACUCCUACGGGAGGCAGCAGUGGGGAAUAUUGCACAAUGGGCGGAAGCCUGAUGCAGCAACGCCGCGUGCGGGAUGACGGCCUUCGGGUUGUAAACCGCUUUCGCCUGUGACGAAGCGUGAGUGACGGUAAUGGGUAAAGAAGCACCGGCUAACUACGUG
rnacentral:rRNA from 1 species